UAAGGGUUUAUCUAUACCACAUUUUCUCAUGUUAUUUCAGCUUAUUUGUUGAAGACCUUUAAAAAAAUAGAAAAUAGACAAAAGUACACAAGAAGAAAAGUAACUGAAAUACAAAUUUUGCAUGUCAUUUGAAUGCAAUACAUCUGUCGGUCUAUGACUGUGUAUGGUUCAGGAUUGAACUACAAGAAUUUAUUUCACCUUUUUAUUCUUUAUGGCUCCUCUGGGAUUUGUGAGAUCUUUUGUAAAUAAUAUUUCUCAUAUUUUCAAUCUUGUUGGUCUUAUUGUUGUUUAGUUUUGGAGGUGAAAUAAUUUCAUCACUUUAGCAUGAGUGCUGUUCUUUCUUCUUGGUUCCAUAGUUAAAAGGGGUCUUGAAUCAUGAUCUAGGAAAUUUGGUGUAAAGGAACUCAUUCUAUCUAUCAAUUUUUAGUCGUUAAUCCCUUUAUUUUUUAUGCAACCUUCAAACUAAUUACUCCAUAUGCAGAUUCUACGUUGCUGAAGUCCUCCUUGCCCUCGAAUACUUGCAUAUGCUUGGUAUUGUAUAUCGAGAUCUGAAACCAGAAAACAUUCUGGUCCGAGAAGAUGGUCAUAUCAUGCUUACGGAUUUUGACCUUUCUCUUAGAUGUUCUGUAAACCCAAUGCUCCUGAAAUCAUCUUCUUUGGUUAUGGAGCCUCCACGGAUGUCGGGUCCAUGUGCCGGAUCCAAGUGUAUAGAUCCUUUCUGCAUGAAGCCCUCCUGUCAAGUCUCAUGCUUCAGCCCUAGGCUUUUGCCUGUUUCUGCGAAAACGAGGAAGACAAAAGCCGAUCUUGCAACCCAGAUGAGAUCAUUGCCACUGCUUGUGGCGGAACCGAAAGAUGCACGAUCCAACUCCUUUGUUGGUACCCAUGAGUAUCUCGCGCCUGAGAUCAUCAAAGGAGAGGGACAUGGAAGUGCUGUUGAUUGGUGGACAUUUGGUGUAUUUCUGUACGAGCUUCUGUAUGGGAAGACACCCUUUAAAGGUUUAGGAAAUGAAGAAACGUUAGCGAAUGUGGUCCUGCAGAGCCUUAAAUUUCCAGACACCCCACUUGUGAGUUUUCAGGCAAGGGAUCUCAUCAGAGGGCUGUUAGUGAAGGAACCCGAAAACCGGUUGGGAUCGGAGAGAGGAGCUGCCGAGAUCAAGCAGCACUCUUUCUUUGAAGGCCUUAAUUGGGCACUGAUACGUUGUGCAGUUCCGCCCCAAAUACCCGAGCCUUGUGAUAUUUUAGCUCCAAAACACGAGAAGGGGACCAAGUAUCUAGAAUAUGGUGCUACAGGCGAGCACUUGGAAUUUGAGUUGUUCUAGCAAAAACAUCAUUUAGGCUUGUGCCUAUAAAUGUAAAUUCGGUUGAGAAUAUGAAAAAUUUGUAGUUUAUCAUAUAUUGAAAUCAAAGUGUUCCACUUGAGUCAUGACCCUACCCUCCUCCAUCAUUUGGAUAGAAAUGUUUUUGAAUUUGGUUGAUGAAGUUGACACAUUGAUCCUAAAAUUCAAAUUCAGUGCAACUCUGAGUUCUGUUGGUGGCCUGGCCUCCUGUCUUCGAGUGUUGCUACUUGCUAGAUGGAGUACUACUUUAUGUCGAUAUUAAAUAAUAGGGAAUUAUUAAAUUCACAACAGAAAUUGUUAUUUUUACAACAAAAGUGUUGUUAUAGAUCCUAUAGCAACGGUUUUCACCGUCGCUAUAUAUCUAUAGCGACACUUUUGUUGUGAAAAUAACAAAAAGUGUUGUAGAUUUAACAAUUACCUAAAUAAUAAUGUAGUAUAUGUGGAUACAUGAGAUGAGAUGAGAUGAGAUGAAAAUAAAUAAUACACACUAAAAUAAAACUCAAUUUCGACAAGCUAAAAGUCUACCCCAGAACUACAAAUCUAAUGAUAACGACGCUCUAAUGAUUAUUUUAUCCCUCUACUUAUGUCAAUAAAACAAAAGAAAAACAAGAAGGUUAUUUUAUUCCAAAUACUAUUAAACCUAUUUAUUUUUAUUUUAUGUAUUAAUUGUUAUAUUAUUAUUUUUUAAAUAAAAAAAACUAUAAACCUUAAGCCAUCGAAUGAAGGAGUAAUUAAAAAUUAUGAGAACAUGAAAAUUAGACACAAUAUAUUUAAAUUUUAUUUAAUUAUAUUUUAAUAAUGUAUAAAAAUAUAAAUAAAUAAAAUUUAAAUACAAAUUUUCAUAUCUAGCAAGAAAAUGUCACUAAUAAAAUGCUUUAACGUAGGACCCACUACCGUACAUAACGAUGCGGGUCCUGUUCCGCAAAUACAAACGAAAUACUACUACAGAAGAAUUGAAAGAUAGAGAAACAGUGGGUGCGCAGUGCGCGCAUCUAUAGGGAGCUCUCUUCCAUCUCUCCACCGAUACUCUUGACAAAGCUGAGCUAGGGUUUCGCAACCAUAUAUUCUUCCAAUUUCUAUUUUUCCCGUUCAUUGGAUAGACUUUCAGAUCUCUGAAGUGCAAGUAUUUAUACUAUAUCUAAUCUCAUUGUAUUUACUUUACUGUUCAUGCUCAUUUCUGCUGAAGCUUGGCUACUGUUCAACUUACGGCCUCAUUUUUGAUUUUAUUGAGUUUAAUUCAAGUUUUACGAUUAGUGAAUGAUCUGGGUUGUGCAUAAAUUAAUCUGUAAAUUUAUGUCUACAUUGUUGUGAUUUGAGAAUCUCCAUGAUAUGAUACUCAUUUAUCAUCAGAUUGUUAUUUUCUCCGCUAAGGAAAUUAAAACAACCCUUUUGGGUGCCUAGAGAAAACUGACAAAAAAGAUAACAAAGUACAGGCUUUUGUUUUUCAUUUUUCUUUUUCUCGAGUUGAACUUCGUUCUUGUGUCCAUUUGAUAUCUCCAUAAAAUUGAAAGAUGAAAGAAAGAUCAGAAAUUUUAAAUCUUUCUUUAAUUUCUAGGUGACUAACCAAGAAUGAUUUACAGUGUAUUUUUUCUUCCAUUUUCAAUACCUUGAAGGUAAUUGUAGUUUGUACUCGGUGAAUUAUGAUUGAGAGAUGCAUUCAUUUGUGGAUCUGAUAUCAUGUUGUGUUUUUGGUUGAAUUGAUCAAUAAGGAUUUAGGAGAGAAUAAGAGAAAGAUUAAAUCACUUUGCAGUACAUGCUGUCUAAUUUACUCUGAAUCUGUAAUUCACUAAUUUGUAGCCUUGAAAUGAUAGAUUUCGAAAUGAAUAAUACACAUUACCAGGAUAUACAUCUUUUUGAUAGCUGUGAAUUUUAAUGAAAAUAUCCUAAAUUGAAUUCCAAAUAAUAGAUUUUAAUAUAUUUGGGCAGAUACUUAAAAUGUCUUCUCAAUUAAUUGUCCAAUUUUCAAAUCAUGACAUCGUAACAAUGAAAUCCGGCAUGAAUACAAUAAGUUUGUUUUACCGUUCAUCCUUGUGACUGUAAUCUUUUAGAGUUUCUUAGGAGGUUGCUGAAGCUUAUAUAUUUUUUUAUAUAUUUGUUAUGCUAUUAUUGUUUCAAGUUUCUUAUUAAUCAAUAUUGAUUAAGUGGGCAACUGAAGGUGUAUCUGAUGUUUGGUGUUCAUUUCAGGUAUAGAUGACAUGCCUUUGGAAUUAAUUUAAGAGACUGAAAGAGUAGAUUGAAUAUAAGCUGUUUGGUUUCUGUAUGCAUCACGUACAGGAUAGCCCUAGAGUGUAUGUCUAUGUAUUCAUAUCAUUGAAUCCUUAAGCCUUAUGUGAAAGAAAUAACAAAAUCUUCUGGUGAAGUUUGUUUUAAAAUUUUACCGAAUCCAUGUAAUUUAUCGUAGCUCGUGCUAACCUCACAACAAUGGGCUCAUUAUCUGGUACUUGUGAGAUUGUUGAAGUAAAGGAAGAGCACAGUUCCAGUCAGAAUGUUCAAGGUAUUCAUCUAUCAAAUGGACAUGGCAAAGAGUGGAAACCUCCAGUGCUGAAACAAGGACGAAUUAGUUCUUUAAAAGAUGACAUCAAUAAGCUCUUUGAAGCAAAUAGUAUCAAAACUUCAUCCAAGGGUCCGACUCAGUUCAAUCAAGUAGUAGGUUCAGCCCUACCAAGUAAAAAGGACUCAAAAAAACCUAUGCGAGUGAGUACAUCUCCAUCAGGAAUUGGGUUUUCUGAGCCAGUAUCUCUAAAGCAGGCGUUAAGGGGUCUAUGCAUUUCUCAGGCAUCAGAAAUGGCUGCCAUGAAACGGUUAUCAAAGCCGCCAGGGUCUCCUGCAAUCUCAGAAACUGGAAACUUAACAAAUCUGUAUAGGUCUGUUGUAGUUGAAGCUGGUGAAUCGGGUCUUCCCAUAGCUGAAGGUAAAAUGGGGAGAGUUGAAAUAUCUCUAGUUCCAGAAGUAAACACAUCAAGUUCAUUAGAGAAGGUGACUCAGUACCUUCAAGACCUCAUAUUAAAGUCUACCAACCACAGUGCCCACUCUUCUCCUCGAUUUGCUCUUGCAAUAACAGCUAAGGAAACUAUUUCAGCACUUUGGCUAAAUGAGUCUGUACCUGCAUCAACAGAAGUUGGAAAACAAUCUACAAAGGUAGAACCUGUACAGGAAGAAUUUAGUACAUCGGUUGCUUCUCUACCUUGUCAUAGGACAGGUGAUAAAAUAUUAGAGCAGGGUAGAAAUAUCUCUGCCUCUGUUAAGCCAGUUAUACCGGAAAUGGAUGGUGAUAAGAAUAUUUCUGCACCAAGUAAGUCAACAAACAAAGCAGCACUGAAGUUGAGACGGAAAGGCAAGUUUCAAACUGUUCCUUCUUCAUCUGGUAUAAUAAGCAGCAAUAAGUUAGGGAAGUCAACAAAAAAUGCUCCACGAGCAUUCAAGCCGGUCGUUAGGGGUAAGAAUUGUGUUAAGAAGAAAACAAAGCCGGUUUCAACUUCAGUUCCUGACACUUCUAUUGCACAUAAUGAUGUCAAUUAUGAUUUUGAUCCCAGUACAAGCAAAUUGAUAUGCAAAAAAUGCCAAUGUUCACUGAAAGAUGAAAAAGAGAUCGAUAAAGCCUCUCCAGCACCUCCUUCUCCAGGUGUCGGUCCUGGAAGCAGCUCAAUUAUCAGGAACAAUGCUUCAAGCAAACCAAGCUCCAUUUUGAAUGGCUGUUCUGUUGUUGCAAAAACUAACAAGUACCCAAAAUCUGGAGAAAAGGGGGAACUCUCACAGAGCUCGAUGAGUAGCAUCGGUGAGUUCAGUAGUAGCACUAGCCUUAGUGAGGAUAGCAAUCUCAGUGGAUCUAGUUUCGGCAACAGACCUCACAUGUCAAAGGAUUUGAGGUGGGAGGCCAUCCAGUAUGUUACAAAGCGGUAUGGAUUUCUAGGAUUGGGGCAUUUCAAUUUAUUGAAGAAGCUUGGUGGUGGAGAUAUCGGUACAGUAUAUCUUGCUGAACUAAUGGGGACAAAUUGCCUAUUUGCAAUAAAGGUCAUGGACAAUGAGUUUUUGGCGAAAAGGAAUAAGAUGCCAAGGGCUCAAACUGAGAGAGAAAUACUGAGAAUUCUGGAUCAUCCUUUUCUUCCUACGCUAUAUGCCCAGUUCAUUUCGGAUAACCUGUCAUGUUUAGUUAUGGAGUAUUGUCCUGGUGGAGAUCUGCAUGUCCUCCGCCAAAAGCAGCCUUGCAGAUAUUUUGCGGAACAAGCGGCAAGGUAUGAAACUUUUGUAAGGGUUUAUCUAUGCCACAUUUUCUCAUAACAUUUCAGCUUAUUUGUUGAAGACCUCUAAAAUAUAGAAAAUAGACAAAAGUACACGAACAAAAGUAAAUGAAAUACAAAAUUUGCACUCAGGGUUUAGUGAGAUCUUUAGUCCAUAAUAUUUCAUAUAUUUUCAAUCUUGUUGGUCAUAUUGUUGUUUCGUUUUGGAGAUGGAAUAAUUUCAUCACUUUAGGAUGAGUGCUGUUCUUUCUUCUUGGUUCCAUAAUUAAAAAGGGGUCUUGACUCAUGAUCUAGGAAAUUUGGUGCAAAGGAACUCAUUCUAUGUAUCAAUUUUUAGCCAUUAAUCCCUUCAUAUUUCAUGCAACCUUCAAACUAAUUACUCCAUUUGCAUAUGCAGAUUCUACGUUGCUGAAGUCCUCCUUGCCCUCGAAUACUUGCAUAUGCUUGGUAUUGUAUAUCGAGAUCUGAAACCAGAAAACAUUCUGGUCCGAGAAGAUGGUCAUAUCAUGCUUACGGAUUUUGACCUUUCUCUUAGAUGUUCUGUAAACCCAAUGCUCCUGAAAUCAUCUUCUUUGGUUAUGGAGCCUCCACGGAUGUCGGGUCCAUGUGCCGGAUCCAAGUGUAUAGAUCCUUUCUGCAUGAAGCCCUCCUGUCAAGUCUCAUGCUUCAGCCCUAGGCUUUUGCCUGUUUCUGCGAAAACGAGGAAGACAAAAGCCGAUCUUGCAACCCAGAUCAGAUCAUUGCCACUGCUUGUGGCGGAACCGAAAGAUGCAC
rnacentral:lncRNA from 1 species